AAAUUGAAGAGUUUGAUCAUGGCUCAGAUUGAACGCUGGCGGCAGGCCUAACACAUGCAAGUCGAGCGGAAACGAGUUAUCUGAACCUUCGGGGAACGAUAACGGCGUCGAGCGGCGGACGGGUGAGUAAUGCCUAGGAAAUUGCCCUGAUGUGGGGGAUAACCAUUGGAAACGAUGGCUAAUACCGCAUGAUGCCUACGGGCCAAAGAGGGGGACCUUCGGGCCUCUCGCGUCAGGAUAUGCCUAGGUGGGAUUAGCUAGUUGGUGAGGUAAGGGCUCACCAAGGCAACGAUCCCUAGCUGGUCUGAGAGGAUGAUCAGCCACACUGGAACUGAGACACGGUCCAGACUCCUACGGGAGGCAGCAGUGGGGAAUAUUGCACAAUGGGCGCAAGCCUGAUGCAGCCAUGCCGCGUGUAUGAAGAAGGCCUUCGGGUUGUAAAG
rnacentral:rRNA from 1 species